rnacentral:rRNA from 1 species
GAUGAACGCUGGCGGCGUGCCUAAUACAUGCAAGUCGAGCGAACAGACGAGGAGCUUGCUCCUCUGACGUUAGCGGCGGACGGGUGAGUAACACGUGGAUAACCUACCUAUUAGACUGGGAUAACUUCGGGAAACCGGAUCUAAUACCGGAUAAUAUAUUGAACCGCAUGGUUCAAUAGUGAAAGACGGUUUUGCUGUCACUUAUAGCUGGAUCCGCGCGGCAUUAGCUAGUUGGUAAGGUAACGGCUUACCAAGGCAACGAUGCGUAGCCGACCUGAUAGGGUGAUCGACCACAUUGGAACGGAGACACGGACCAGACGCCUACGGGAGGCAGCAGUAGGGAAUCUGCCGCAAUGGGCGGAAGCCUGACGGAGCAACGCCGCGUGAGUGAUGAAGGUCUUCGGAGCGUAAAACUCUGUUAUUAGGGAAGAACAAAUGUGUAAGUAACUAUGCACGUCUUGACGGUACCUAAUCAGAAAGCCACGGCUAACUACGUG